AUUGAACGCUGGCGGCAGGCCUAACACAUGCCAGUCGAACGGUAACAGGAAGCAGCUUGCUGCUUCGCUGACGAGUGGCGGACGGGUGAGUAAUGUCUGGGAAGCUGCCGGAUGGAGGGGGAUAACUACUGGAAACGGUAGCUAAUACCGCAUAAUGUCGCAAGACCAAAGAGGGGGACCUUCGGGCCUCUGGCCAUCGGAUGUGCCCAGAUGGGAUGAGCUUGUUGGUGGGGUAACGGCUCACCAAGGCGACGAUGCCUAGCUGGUCUGAGAGGAUGACCAGCCACACUGGAACUGAGACACGGUCCAGGCUCCUGAGGGACGCACCAGUGGGCAAUAUUGCACAAUGGGCGCAAGCCUGAUGCAGCGAUGCCGCGUGUAUGAAGACGGCCUUCGGGUUGUAAAGUACUUUCAGCGGGGAGGAAGGGAGUAAAGUUAAUACCUUUGCUCAUUGACGUUACCCGCAGAAGAAGCACCGGCUAACUCCGUG
rnacentral:rRNA from 1 species